UGAACGCUAGCGGCAGGCUUAAUACAUGCAAGUCGAGGGGUAAGGCUCAUUUCGGUGAGUACACGACCGGCGCACGGGUGCGUAACGCGUAUGCAACCUACCUUUAACAGAGGGAUAGCCCGAAGAAAUUCGGAUUAAUACCUCAUAACACUGCAGAAUGGCAUCAUUUAGCAGUUAAAACUCCGGUGGUUAAAGAUGGGCAUGCGUGACAUUAGAUAGUUGGUGAGGUAACGGCUCACCAAGUCUACGAUGUCUAGGGGUUCUGAGAGGAUGAUCCCCCACACUGGUACUGAGACACGGACCAGACUCCUACGGGAGGCAGCAGUAAGGAAUAUUGGUCAAUGGGCGCAAGCCUGAACCAGCCAUGCCGCGUGCAGGAAGACGGCCUUAUGGGUUGUAAACUGCUUUUAUAAAGGGAUAAACUCCCGAUCGUGAUCGGGACUGAAGGUACUUUAUGAAUAAGCACCGGCUAACUCC
rnacentral:rRNA from 1 species